AAUGAAGGAGAGUAGAGGCCAGUAUCUCACGUACGCUAUCGUAGUUUUCAUUCUUGGAUUUUAUCACCUCUUGUUAUUGAGUGAACGCUUUCCCUAACCUAGUCUCAAAGUGAGGUUGAUUCUUGGACUUCAUUAAAGUGAUCGUCGGGACGUUUGCGAGGAACUUUUUCUUCGAAUCGCUGAAACUUGAUUCGUGCUUCCUGUGAAGUUGGCCGUUCUUUAAUUCGUUCUGUGAAGCGGUAAAGUGUCUCGUUUGCGGAGUGUCAAUCUGCCUGUUUCUAGUGUAGGGUGGCGUUUCAGCCGCGCAAAAACUCGAUAGUCCGGUAAAUUGAUUUAGAGAAGAAAGCAAGUGUUGGGUGUUUUCCGUCUCCUGAGCACCGCGUUUUUGUUGGAUAAAUUCACCUCUCAGCGACUGUUGGAAAGCCCAGGGAAUGAGGGAUCGCAGUUUGCAGGUAAGCUAACUUCGAUGACAUCUUCAGAAAACUUCAAUUGCCGGAAUCAAAGUUCUCUCCUCAGCCACUGAAGACUUUGAUUUGGAUUGAAAAUUCCACGCGCCACUGGGACAUCAGUCGUACACGGUUGACUCUUAUUCCCGAGUGCUCUCCGAAAUGCUUGUCAGAGUCGAUGUGUCCGACCAACCGUGCUCCCUUUCAAUCGAAUCGCGCGAAGCAGUUUUGACGAUUCAACAAGCUCCCUCAACUUGAAAAGUAUCGAGCACAACCACUUGCGACUUAUAUUUGUGAUUCGAAUAAUUAGUUGCAUUUCACACGAUCGUAUAGCUAACAGGGUUCUAUUUUAGCCUGUAGCUAAAAUGUUCCGCUAGGUCCUUAGUCUCGUCCAUUUUCCCAAAGCAAUCAUUCAGUACAAAUGACGGAAAUUUUCGAGGGCAAAUAUUUAUCGAUCCAGAUUCUAAACUCGUGCAAAUAAAACAAAUCGAUAAAGAGAUGCAAGAUUUUUCGCACCGAGGAAGGAAGUGAAGUAAUGUUAAUUAUGACAGAAAAGACGGCUUGAAUCGUAGAAAAUAAAACAAUUAACCUACGAUCCAUUUUGUUUUGCUCAACCAUUGCAUUUAAAUAGCAGUCUUAAUAUCUAAAGUUUUCUAACAAUUUUUCGUACCUGAAUCACCCGUAGUUUAAAUUCAAU
rnacentral:lncRNA from 1 species